rnacentral:lncRNA from 1 species
GUGGAAUCUGUUUUUUUCGUCUGAUACCAAUUCAUCCCCAUUGUCACAAUCUUCUUGGCUGUUACUUAGAGGGUAAGUACUUUGUAGACCUUUGUUUGCCCAUGUGAUGCUCCAUCUCAUGUGCUUGUUUUGAAAAAUUCCCUCCAGUUCGGAUGCCUGUUGCAUAGGAAUGUGUACACUGGAAUGAGUUGCCCAUGUUUUUGGAGUCCCUUUGGCGGCUAACAAAACGGUGGAACCAACCUCUUGUCUUAGUUUUUUGGGUCUUCAAAUUGAUUUGGUAGCAGGGGAAUGUCAUUUGCCGGAGGAUAAGUUGGUGGCGCUUCGCCAGGCCGUUCGGGAAGUUCGGGCGGAACGUAAAGUGACGUUUCGUGUUGUUUUGCAUGCAACAAAAUCAAUUUAACAUUGUUUUUCGGGUGCGUCAUGGGCCUGGAUUUUUGAAUAUCAUUGCUGAUGUGCUGUUUCGUUUACAGUGGGGAAAGUUUCGGGUGGUGUCUCCGGGUGCUCGGUCAGAGGGUCUGGUCUGUCACUUGCAUGGGGAUUGUCAUAUGACAAUGUUAUAUGACAAUCCCCAUGCAAGGGGUACGCCCACAUGGACCUUGUUGGGUACUGCAAUACAAAAUUAUAAACCAAUAACAACAAGGUUACAAUGCAUGACACUCCCAUGUACAAUACAAUAAGCCUUCCCCUUUACUUAGGAGAUAAUUGAGUCAGGCACUAUACUAAACUCAAUUUUCUCCAAACACAAAAAAACUAAUUUUUACAAACCCCCCAAAAUACCUUUAAAAAAAAUAACACCCCUGAUAGCCCUGAUCUGGGUGACCAACAUAUCCAAAAAUCACCAAAUCAGUUCAGGGGUUCAAGAAUUCUAUGGAAGUAAUUUAUUUGACCGACCGCAGGCAUGGUCCCAUGCCCAAAACAGUUCCAGAGAAUCAGGGUUUGUGGUUGGUGUAGUUCAGUAAUUUGAAAACGAACAAACUACCGAACAGAGUCAAUAGUCUUACCCUGGAGCUUGUUCCCUUCAUCCAGAUGAAUGAUCCCACUGAACAGUGCUCUUCUAACUUGUAUAGAACCGAACGCAGGCGAUAAUGGAAGUCCAGCGGUGUCCAGGAGUUUCUGUAUCCGAUUUUAGUUCCAGGAGAUUCAUGCCCAAACACCGCUGCCUGUAUUCAACAAGAUGGCCACUACCUCGUGGUUGUCCAUAGGAAUUGCGGCCACCCAGAUGAACAAUUAGAACACUGUGGUGAGAAACAUUCCAAGUUGUUAAUAGGUUUUAACAAGCUCCAGGGUGGUCUCUGGUUCAUGCAAGUGUGUGGUAAAUGAACCAUAUAGUCCCAAUUGCAUGAACAAAGCCUGUUUAAAUUAUUUUAGCCGGGUCUAUUGCAAGGGUCACAGGGUAAGAGGCUGGCCAGCAGGCUCCUCCAAGAACCAGUGACGAGGUUCAAUUCGUCACAGUGAGGGGUAGUCGAGCUGGUGGGGGAGGAGGGCAUUCAAUUGGAGGAUGUUGAGUUAACUGAUGUUUUUGGUAAAGGUUGCAUGGUUACUCUUUAUUUGUUACAGGGAUUGACAGUGUGUCUGGUUUUCUGUGCUUCUGCCUAUUUAAAAGCUUUUCAGAUGCAUGAUUAUGGGUUAUCUUUAUCAAAAUACCAGUUUUUCCAUGUUUGUAGCUUGGGUCUAGGCCAUUUGUGGUUGGAUCCUUUACAGUUCGGCACAUAUUCUUUUAGGAUUGGGGCUGCAACGUAAGCAGCACGGUUGGACCUAGGGGGCAAAUUAGUAAAAAGGACUGGACGUUGGGAGUCUGUCAGGUUCCGGCCAUACGUGAGAUUAGACCGUUUGAUAUAAUUUUUUUUUUUUUAAAUUACUACAUUUUGGUUGUUCCUUGUUGGUAACAUGUUUCCUUUCUUUCAUAGGUUGGGUCGCCUGGUUGGUGGGCCACUCAUUCGUUCAUUGGGCGCACAAAAGAGCCGCAGUUAGACAUCACAGAGGAGAGCUGGGCUUUCCACGGCACUUGGUCCAAUUAUAUUGGUUUGGCUAUUGGGGUUUUGGAUGGAGGGAAGUGUGUUCAGAGAUUUUUAGGCGUUUAGAUUCAGGGCAGUCACUGGAUUUUCUGUUGCUACAUGCAGGGGGUAACGAUUUGGGUUGGGUGCCCCAAGGGGAACUAGUGCAUUGUAUGAAAUGGGACAUAGAUAAGUUGAGGGCUAUGGUGCCAGGUGUAGUUUUAAUUUGGUCGGAGAUGGUGCCCCGGUUCCAUUGGCGUCAUGCUAGGUAUCCUGUGGCAGUGGCUAGGAGCAGGGGGAGAGUUAAUAAGAUGUUGUCCAUUUUUGUUAGACGCAUUGGGGGUAUAGUAGUUGUGAGACAUGUUGAACAUGUUGAAUUGGUAGCCAGGCUUCCCGGUUAUUUUCGGCAUGAUGGGGUGCACCUCUCUGACGUAGGUAACAACUUUAUUAAUAUGGGUUUUCAGGAAGGCUUGCAGCGGGCAUUGUUUAAGCGGGGGUGGGGCACUCAGCAUGAGGAGUCAAUCUCUGAGCUGUGGCUGGGGCUAGAUAAGACAUUGGGGGGUAGGUAGGUUUGGUAGCUGUGAUGUUUGGAAGUUUGGUAACAAUAUUCACAUGGUUGAACUUGUUAAUUGGUAGGUUUUCUCUCGGUAUACCCCUACAAUGUUAAAUCACUUGGAAUAUGAUGCCUGUUGUGGCUGUGUCUUGUGUACUGUUAUUCUUGUUAUAUGGAUUAUUGUUAGCUUAUGUUAUGGAUCAUUGUCAGUGGGUAUAGUACUGUUAAAAGUUGG